UUCCAGUAACAUAGUUCCUUGUAAAUAGAAGGAAUGUAUCUGCAUCUCGCGAUUUCGUCGUUUCUGGCUCUUCAUCUGUUUCUGGUUCCUCGUUUUGGGUUACCGAUGCCUCAUCGGAUUCAACUUCAACAUCUAAUUCCUCGUCUAAUUCAUCCUCGGUAGCAUUGGCCAUGAACCGGGAGCCUGCCAGAAAUAGAAAAAAAACCCAAAAUUAUGGUUACGAAAUGCCACCUGCAAACAUGAAACUUACCGUUGUCCGCCGUAAGGAGAACUGCCGGUUCUGCUACUUGAAUCACUGAGUUCAUUCACAAAAUUUACACUUUAUUUAUUCACUGGGAAAGACACUUACAUCCGCUAGCGCUAACCGUGGUAAUAUGAGGCAGCUUUUCCACCAAAUGCUGCACGGCUGGAGGUUUUGCGAUGAAAACGUUGUAAAACCGUUAUUAACUGACCCUCACCGCAAGACCAUUUGUAUGCAAACGACGGAUUUUCUGGAUCCCCCAAAUUUCCAUUGUUACGAUUUAGACGACAAAAGAAAACGCGAUCAAAACAUUAGAUUGACGUGUACUAAAUUGGCGGCGUUCUGAAUGCAGGAUGGCACUGGCUGUACUAAAUAUUUUUAGUACACUUGCAGGAUUACUUAUCCCCGGAUAACUAUUAGCCUCUAAUCUCCAGAGCAAAUCGCAACCUCGGAUUCCUCAAAAGAGUAUCGAAAGAGUUUCGAGACCCUUACUGCCGCUCAUAGCAAGUCCGUCCCAUUUGCGUUUUUGUUGAAAUGAGAAAAACGGUAUUGAAAAAUCAUUAAAAGUCCAAUGGUAGUUCGGCACUUGUAUGCGUUUUUAAUCAAAAUUAUCAACUGAAUCUAUCACAGCAAAGGCUAAUGAAAGAUUUUCGCUUUAUAAAGAUAAUUUUUUCGUUUUGAUUCCGUUGAAAAUCAUUUGCUGGGCCCUUAUGGCUGUGGGACCGACAUGCGAUGAUUUAUGCCAUAUGGGACCGACUUGCGAUCAUUUGUUCAAUGGGACAAAUUUACUUGAGGUUUUUUUCAAUGUUCAUCAGAACAAAGUGUUGAAAACAAAAUUUUCUCUUGAAACUACAGAUAAAGUUAAACUGAUUCCAGCGAUAAACUGAAAAAUGAUGAAAAUGCAAAUGGGACGGACUUGCUAUGAGCGGCAGCUUACUGCCUUCGAUCCUUAUACUGUUCCCUAGUGCGCUCAUUACUAGAGUAUGCCUCGGAAGUUUGGUCUCCUUAUACGAUGGUUUGGUCCAAAAGACUUGAAGCUGUUCAAUCGAGAUUUGUGAAAUACGCACUCAGAUUCCUGCCGUGGAACCAGCCCCAGGAGCUCACUGACUACAGCGAACGUUGCAGACUGCUUGGUCUAGACACUCUUUUGGAGAGAAGAGUCACAGCACGAGCUUUACUUGUAAACAAGAUCUUCACAGGCACUAUCGACUGCCCGGAAUUACUAAGCUCCUUUAAUAUCAACGUUCCGGCAAGAACAUUAAGGCAACGAGAUUUCCUUCAAAUCGACUUCCGACGAACUAAUUACGGACAACAUGAACCAAUAAGAAGCAUGAGUCGGAUCUUCAACUGGUUUUUUGAACUUUACGAAUUUGACAUUACAACUAACUGUUUUAGAUCUAGAAUAAGAAAUUCGCCACAACUUAGAAAUCUGAUUGUCUCGAUAGAAAAUUAUACAUUUUAGUGAAUUAUAUUUGUAAUGUUCCCGUUAAACUUAGAAUUAAUCUUUCAUGUAGACUAUUCAGUCAGAUGAAAUGUGAUAAUAAAUGUAAAUGUAAAUGGAGGAGACGAGAUAAAUGAACCGCACCGUUCGGCUGUUUACCGGAGACUGUAUGGGCGAUGGGCGCGCUCGCAAUCCCGGUAUACGAUUUCUCGUGUGUUAAACAGAGAAACAAUAGCCUUCACUCCAAUUUCACUCCGAUUAGCUGUCAUUCUUAUGGAAAUCUGUGUAAGAGUAAAGAGCAAGCUUUAUUCUUUUUAGCAGGCCCAAUCCCAAUAAACGCCAACGGACAAUCUUUUAACAAACCUUAACACCAUCUACUGACAGAAAAGGUCAACAUUUCUCGAUAAUUGAAUUUUUCUCUUGUACCCCUCGUUCCGGGGGGUUCAAAUGCACUCUAAUAUGCUUUUGUUCAAAUUUGGAAUACAUUUGCAAAAUGUACUCUGAACUACUUUCGUCAAUUUUUGGGAAAUGCUAUGCCACUGACUCAAUUUAAUUGAGAACCUGACUCGUUUUUACGCAUUCAGCUUCCUCAAUUAAAAAUAAUAAUCUUCAAUUUAAACAGAUACCUUAUUUGUAUUGCAUCUUAAAAUUGCAAAGUUUUCCAGUUUAAGUGAUAAAUAACAUAAUUAAGAAAUUUAAAAUUUAUUUCAUAUCAGGAAACGCUUUUUCGCUUUUUUUCAAAACCAGCCAUUUCUAUAACAAAAAAGCAGAAAGUAGUGUUUUCUAACUGUCAAAUGAGAUUUAGAAAAAAAAAUUCAAACCUGUCCACGUGGACAUCCCGCAUAAUCAAAUAUCAUACACGUAAUCAUCAAUAUUAUUCCGUUCUGAUUAUAUGAAUAGUGACUAUUGGAGUAAUCGUUUAAAAAUCUUCUUAUUUAUAACAAACUUUUCUAUUUUUCAUGUGUCUUCGCUUGAAACGAUAUAAAAAUAUUUGUGAAAGAUACGUGCAAUAAUCUUUAAAACAAAACGCGGGAUGAAUCUAAGUGUGUCGUGUGUCUUCACUCAACAAUAAAGCAAAUAAACAAAAUGGCGUGCGUGUCUUGUUAAUGUGAGCAGAAACUUUUUGUUUUCCAGGAAACCCAUGCUAAACACUACAAGGCUUACCGCAACUGAAAAAACGGUGCCAGAAUGGAAUCACAACAAAUACUUAUUCCCUUCCCCCAUGAGAUGGCUCCGGAAAAGAUACCCCAAGAUCCAUUGGAAGCUAAAACAGGGCUUGCUCCUCGGCCACUAGAUCUAGGCCAGUGCCUUCAACAUUCCUCUGAUCGAAGUCUCAACAACGCUGAGACUGCCCAUGUCUGGAAUUCAUCCAACAAGCAGCAUCCAAUAACCUGUUUAUAAAACACCGAUGCUCGGGGCGGCUGUUGUAAGUAUCCAGUGUUUGUUUCCAUUUCCCUAACCUAAUUUUGGCUACUGCGGCCGCCGGGAGUCUGUUCAUCAAUACGGUCACAAAACUCAGAAUCAAUUUUCAAUCGAAAAAACAAAGCCUUCACAGCGCCCGUCACCGAGAAACAAGCAGGGCACUGGGACACAACUCCUGACAGUCGUCACCACCAGGUCUCAAGCCUAGCGAAAAUUCGGCAACACGAUGUGGCCCGCGGCAAAUCCGUAUGGCCAGAAGACAGGCCGACAACGUGGCACUCUUAACGGUCUCCUGGGACAGGCUCGCACAAAAGGCUUCCACCAGUCAUGUACUUGGUUUAAGCAGUUGCCAGUUUGUCAUCGAAGCCGUCGAACAUGUGCCCAAGCCCCUCAAUCAGGUCAUUGAAACACUACGAGAGGAUCGAUACACGAUGGUGUCGUUUCGAUGGAAUUGGAGAAUCCAACGCUCCAGAUGAAGGCAUUAGCGGCGGAAAAAGAUCACCCGUUUCUUAUAACCCCUCUCGGGGAAUGGACACCAACCCCCACCACGUCCAACACUCACCAUCAGAUGCCCGUAAAGAUUUUGAUAUUCAGUCGCUGCAUCCGACCAAGAACAAUUCUGUCGCGAGUCACAGUAUCCUCGCACCACACUUUAUCUGCACGAGCAAAGAGGAUAGCUGUUCCUGGGUCAACAACUAGCACGGAAUCGAACUGGAAAUGCUAAACCUGCCAAAAGAGAGACCUUCGUAAUGACAAAGCACUCCAUGUCUGCUGCAAUUUGGCGCCAAAAUGGAUUCUACCAAUAUAUCAAAGAUAGUAGAUAUAAAGAUACCCAGCUCUUUACAUUUUUCAUAUAAAUUCCAACAGACAUUCUUUCUACCAACAUUAACACCACCUGCUGACGGAAAAGGUCAUCAUUUCUCACAAAUUGUGUUUAGUGAUCGUAGCGUGCAGAUCAUGAUGCACUCUGAUAUGUUUUCAAUCAAUGUAAAAUUAUUCAAACUGCACUCUGAAGUAAUUUGAUUAAAUAUUGCAGAAAUAAAUGCGACUGACUCAGUAAAAUUGAGCUAACCGCAUUCAGAUUCAUCGAUUGUGAAAAUACCUUAAUUUAAUAAUGAAAACAUUAACAUUAACAAUGUUUUGAUUAUUUGAUCAACAAUGAAUAAAAAAAAGUGUAUAAACAAAGUUAUAAUUUAAGAAUAUUUAACAUUUAUAAUUUAUGAACAUAGUGAAAAGUUGAAUUUUAAGCCAGUCUCAGCGCUUAAAACUUCUUAAGAUUUUAUUUCUUGAUUCCCUCAAUGUGAUAACAUUCCUACCUUUUCAUUUCCACCUGAGGUGUACCGCUACCUUUAUUUACUCUUUUAAAUUUGUACAUAGCACUUCGAAACGUUGAACUAAAAUUAAGAACUAAAUUUAGGUAAAUGGCCAGCAAGGAAAUCAAUUAGAAAAAAUCCAAUACUCAAAUUGCUGUAUGAUAAAAACAGCUGGACCAACUAAUACAACUAUGGCAUUUUAGUUUACCUGAAGUGUCGUGUUAAAUUUUGAAGAAUAUUAUUUUAUUAUUACUUUUGCAAAUUUAGAGUCUUCUUCAAUGUGAAAUAAUCAGGCUGAUAUUAUUUUUUUUUGAAAAUUUGGAUACUGUGCAAUCUGUUGCAGUCACAAAAAGCGAUUGGCGAAUAGAAAAAUUAAAAAAAAACUGAUUUAAAUAGGUACUGUUUUGAAAUGUGGCACAAAUGUCACAAUCCACAAAUCUAAAGUGUGCAGUCCCAUUUUGUGCGCUGCUCAUAAAAUAAUCCACACCCUCAUUUCUCAUUAAAGAUUUUUGAGUGCAAAAAUUAGUUACUGUUAAUGGGACUUUUGAUUGUUGUGCUAAAAAACUCUCAAUUGAGUACAUGUGUCCCACCGUGUGAUAAAAACUUAUUUACAUGAGUUUUCUCUGCUAACAGUGUUCAAUGUGUUUUAGUUGCAUUUCUGCCGUCUGGUGGCGCUUUUUUUUGUCUCCCGGUUUUCAUAAGAGUUGGGAAUCUUUAUAUAAACUAUUUUUGAAUAUAUCCUAAGAUUUCAAUAGGAAAACAGCAAUGGCAGCCCAGAUGGCUGAUUCGGAUCUAGAAAUCAUAACUCAAUUUCGCGAUGCAGAUAGAAGAAAUCCAAGUUCAGUUGGGCUUGUGUCAAUCAAUUAAUUGUGAGUUAACUCACGAGAAAUGGUGAAAAAUUAAUCAGUUUACAUUUUAGAGUUUGAAAUUUGAAAUCCAACAGUUACCGUAACAACAUUCAAAACAUCAACCAGUUAUAUGAAAACUUGUAUUCAGAUUUUUUGAAAUCAUGAUAGAAGAAUUUAGAAUGCUUAACCAAAAUAACAAAACCUAUUUAUAGGACUUAAGAUUUCAAAAUCCAAUUUUGAUAUGUAACAGUUAAAUUCAAAUCAAAUGUGUCGAUCAUUUUAAAAAUUAGAAUCAAACAAGAGUCAGAUCCUCUACAAAAUACUUUUGGAAAUUAUCAAAUUUUAAAUUUUACUAUUAGAAGCUUAAAUCCAGUUUGGAUUUUCAAACAACAUUAGAAGAUUUUGAAAAGUAUAACAGGUUAAUUUGCUGAACUUUCAGAUCAGCGUAGAAAAUUUGCACCUAGCAUCAUAUUUUUGGAAACCAAAUUUUAAUUAAGUGUCAAAAUCAAAGAAAAAAGCAUGUAAUAACUGAAAAAGUGAAUAUAUAGUCACCCUUAUUCUUGUUUACGGCGUAUCUGUCGUUCGUUCGAACGGAUACUUUCGAUCGAAUUCGAAAAAGCUAUUCUUGUUUUCGUUCGAAUGCGAUACGUUCGAUGUUGGUGUUACCAGAUGAAUUUCGAAAUUUCUAAGCAGCCCUGCUGUAUCAAAAUGACAUUUCUCGUGUGCCAACAAAAGUGAACAACCUGCCUGAUAAGUGAUAUUGUGAAAUUUUUAAUAUUGAACCGGCAAACAGGAACCUCGUAAACGGCCCAGGGACCAGGAAAAAACCCAAUCAUGCUCGAGCGGAUCGGGCCCACCAAGAAAACCUCCAGCAAGCUAUUUUGUGUGAUUUCCAGAAGUUCGACAAAUCGGAGCCGAUACCAGCCGGCGGGGGUGUUGCUAUCGCUGCUGCUGCUAGAAAGUUGCCCCGUCGUAGGAGAUCGAGCUCUCAUAGAAAAAAUCAACAAAAAUUUAAAUAAAAAUGAGUUUGUAUUCCAGAAAAUUUUGUUAUUUUUGAAUUUCAUAAAUAACAUUGAUCUCGACAAAAUUAAAAUUUUUAAUCACCUUUCGACUCUACAACCGGUCUUAUUCAUUGGCAGAGGUUUCCGUGUCAGUUGGCUCAAUUAGGCCUGGAUCUAUUUUUAUGUUUAGUUUAAAUAUCACAUUUUUCUCAUUUCUUCUCAAAUUUGCUCAAAAUAUGUUAUUUUGAACCACUUUUGUCAUUUAUAAUCUGCAUUAAAUUCCACCAAUUGUUUUAAACGGUCAUCAUUCGCAGCAUUAGACUCGCGUUUGUCAGUCCAAAGAAAAAAUACUUUCGAUCGAAAACGAAAAUGCAGUUUUUUGUUCGUACGAACGAUGUUCGAAAGAUCGAACGGUUCUCAUUCGUUCGAACGAAAACAAGAAUGCAAAAUUGCAAAACUUUCGAACGAAUGCCAUUCGUUCGAAAACAAGAAUAAGGGUGAGUGUAACUUGAAUAACAUCCUUAGAACAGAGCGAUCCAAAAGCUGCUAGGUAAAAAUUAUGCUUAUAUA